rnacentral:tRNA from 1 species
GCUGGGUUAGCUCAGUUAGUUAGAACAUGGUGCUAAUAACACCAAGUUCACAGGUUCAAUCCCUGCUUACUGCA